rnacentral:tRNA from 1 species
UCCUCGAUAGCUCAAGUGGUGGAGCAGCUGACUGUUAAUCAGACGGUUCCAGGUUCGAGUCCUGGUCGAGGAGCCA